AUAAAAAAUUUGUGGUCUAUUAUAACCAAGCUCUUCGUUGAAUACUUUCCUAUACUCUUGUCUUUGUAUCCUGAGCAGUUAUGGCGGCAAAAAGGCCACACUGUCGCGAAAUUCAACAGGUACCCAUCCUUUCAAUGAAAUGUGCCUUCACUACUGUUCCUUAGAAGUAAAGUGGAUCAGCUCACAUCAAUUGGUGUACGUAUUGAAAUAUGUCCAUUAUAAUGUUCAUUCAAAGACAAGCAAAAUUGCCUCAUAUGGAAGACCAAUCCUUCAAAAAUGGUCUAUAGAUAAUCGUUGACUUAUCUUAUUUUAAAUCCUGUUGUAAUCAUAUGCAUAUAUAGUUCCAUUAUAAUGUUUAUCCAAAGACAAGCAAAAUGGCCUCUCAUGUGAAAGAUCAAUACUUGAAAAAUGGUCUUCAUAAUCGCUUACUUAUCCUAUUUUUAUUUAAAUCCUGUUGUAAUCAUGCAUAUAUAUAGUUCACGAAUAUAAUACCACGAAUAUACCCCGUUCGAUUUAAACUACUGCAUGUAUUUAACCCUGUGAAUGCAAUCACAUGCAUUGUUAAAUUGCGGUGAUCGUAAAACCAUGUCGGUCUACCGGCUAUAUAUAUUAUAUACUUUGAUAGUCACUUUUGAAAGUUGUUAAUCUUGGGGUCAAAUAUCGCGCACAUGCAAUUUCAUGCGCUGAAACGGAUUUCAAAUUUCAAAACGGUAGACCGUCAGCUGCACGUUGAUGGUCACGGGCAAAAUUUAUUUCGUUCCCAGAUCACACAAUUCUAACAUCCACACAUAGCGCAAAUAGCCCUGCAUGUCUCAUGGUCGUGUA